rnacentral:rRNA from 1 species
CCCGCAACGAGCGCAACCCUUAUCCUUUGUUGCCAGCGGUCCGGCCGGGAACUCAAAGGAGACUGCCAGUGAUAAACUGGAGGAAGGUGGGGAUGACGUCAAGUCAUCAUGGCCCUUACGACCAGGGCUACACACGUGCUACAAUGGCGCAUACAAAGAGAAGCGACCUCGCGAGAGCAAGCGGACCUCAUAAAGUGCGUCGUAGUCCGGAUUGGAGUCUGCAACUCGACUCCAUGAAGUCGGAAUCGCUAGUAAUCGUGGAUCAGAAUGCCACGGUGAAUACGUU